GAUAAAAUGGCUGAAAUUAGGUUAUAAAUUGUAAAUUUAUAUAUAGAUAAAAUAAAUUAUCUUUUUAUCA
rnacentral:tRNA from 1 species